rnacentral:tRNA from 1 species
CGGAAUGUAGCUCAGUGGUAGAGCACACUACAAAAGUGAGGUCGCAGGUUCGAAUCCUGCCUUUCCGA